UGAAACACGUUGCCCAUACAUAUCUCGAUCUAUAAUUCUAUAUAAACCGCCCACCUUUUGACUUUGCCUAUAAUUCUGUUCCCGUCAAACCCCACAUCACCACGCGUAUCCAGCCGUUGAAAUAUCCUCACAACACUCGUUUGUAGCCGUUGGAUCACCUCACUCCCCUUAAUAAAUACUGUCAUACAUUUUGUUAUUUAAUCGCGUAUUCUCCCUUUUCUAUUGCCUAUGCUUUCAGCUUAUUUUUUUUUUUUUCAAUUUCUGCUAAUUCUUGUAGAUCGUGAGAUUACCUUCUUUUCGGCUAUGGAUUUUAGGAUUUUGAUUCCCGAAAUAAUUUUUCGUCCAUUUAUUUCAGCGUAAAUCUGAUAUUGUGUUCGUGGAUCGUCAUCCAAUUGGCGAACGCGGUUUCGGAUCGAUGAGUUUCGGGUAGAUCUGCUUCGUUUAUGAACCGCUUGCGGUUUCUGAUCGAUGAGUUUCGGGUACAUCCGUUUUUUAUGCACCGGUUGCGGUUUUGGAUCGAUGAGUUUUGGGUAGAACUUUUUUGGUUAUGAACCGAUUGCGGUUUCGGAUCGAUGAGUUUUGGGUUUGAACCGAUUGCUGCUGCAGUGAUUUGUGGGCGGAAUCUUCAAUCUGAUUUCAGAAAGGUGUAUUCCGUUUAACGGAAUCAUCUACCCGGGGCACUUUCGCUUUGUUCUACACAAUUGAUGCGGAUUUAUCUGAUGAUGAUCGUUUGUGAGUUAUUUUGGCGUGCGGAGCCUGAAGUACAAUCUCAUACGGAACAAGGUUCUUAUGAUUUGUGUGUGCUAUUUUACAUGGAAAUUCUUAGUCUGUAUUUCUGUAAAAAAAAAAAGAGAGGUAGUCGGAGUCGAGAAAAAUAGAUAGACCGGGUAUAUCGACCUUUGCCAUGAUGGGUGUGCUCGCAUGGCAGGUCACCAUUUAAUAAAAUAUAUUUUUUUGUGUUGGAGGGGAGAUGGCACGGCGUUUUGGCCCGGCUCUCCCCUCCGUCUGUGUGUUGUCCCCCUCUUUUUCCGUUUCGGUCACAUACAGUCACACAUACAGUCACUCCGACACUUCAAUUUUCAGCAACUUAUCGGUUUGGUUACAAAUAUUAUCGUAACAAAAAAAUUAUACCCCAAAAUCACCACAAUUGCGAGUAAAUUCAGCGAGCAGGCGUAUUCAAUUGAUUGGGUCUUCCGAACAUCCGCGCACAGAGAGUUCGCUAGGUUUUGUGGCAAUGAGUUUGACGAGCGCGAGGAUUUUUGAUCAUGGUUUGUUUCAUGGGAUUACUGUAGUGUUCUCUAAUCAAGAGGAAGGACUCACUGAGUUACGGGUGUGGAGAAGCUUUGUAGGAGAAUGCGGGUGCUGAAAUUAUGUGUUUAAACCUGAAACUUAACAAGCUUCUGGAAUUGUGGUUAGUUUUAUCUCGUAGACUAAGAAUUUUUAAUGAUUCCUAAACAGUAUUAAACUUGCACUCAUUCUCCUGGUAAUACAGUUUGGAUAUCUUUUAUGGUUUUUUUUUUUUAUUAUCUGUGUAAAUAUUUAAUAGAAUUUAUUCUUCUAAUAUGCCUUUUACUCCUUGUACAUGUAAGUUGUUAAUAGGAAUCUGUCAAAUUUUGUUAAUUUAAAUAUUCGCAUUCAAAAUUGGUGCUCGGGAUAAACCUACUACACUCUCGUAUUAUAGCUUGCAAAAUCAUAUGAGAGAAGCUGUCCGUCCAUAUGCGACAAACUCGACUUAACGACCAUUGGCAAGGGGUGUGUGCUUGUUGUAUGAAUGAAUCCAUAAGCUCAAAAAUGGAAGAGCGCUCAAUCACUUUUUUGUGCAUUGAGAGGAUGGUGGUUCGAAUCCGCCUGGGUUCCUUAUAAUUGUUAAUUUUUUUUGUAUAUGAUUUUCCUUUAUGUUAUUUAAGUGUAGAAAAAAGAUAUUUAGUUUUAUUUAAACAUUCGUGGUAAUCUUGAAAAUUGGGAUACAAUAUGAAUGAGUUCAAACAAAUUAGUAACUUCAUUUUAUAUUUUGCAUGAUUAUAUAUUUUUCUCCCUUUUUCUAUUUAAAAUAAAUAUAAAAAAAUUAUCUUCAAUAUAUGCUAUGUGGUGUCAAAUAUCAAUAUUCAGAAAAUUCGAUUGCAAGGAAAGUUAAGUACCAUACCAUGCCUACCAAGGGUUGCAUAACAAUUUCAUCUAAGUUAGAGGGCUAUAUGACAACUAUAAAACUUCCAAGGGGUCUCAGAAGCAUUUUUACGUAGCUAGAGGGCUAGAUGACAAAUUAUAAAACUAUCGCAAAACAUGCGUAGCACGUUGCCCAGCUAUUAAGCCGUCCGGUUUAACCGGCCUACCUUGUCUAUAACUCUGUCUCCGUGUAACCCCACACCAUUCAAAACACAUCCAGCCGUAGAAAAUAUCCUCCAACACUCGUUUGUGGCCGUUGGAUCAUCUCACCCCCUUACUAUAUAAUGUCUGCAUCCCGCUACAUUAAACUAAUCGUCAUCUUAAUUCUAUCGCCGCCUCGGCUCAAUCUCUCUUCUCCUCCCAUCUACACUUUGUAUUUUAUUCCUUUUUUCAAUUUCUUUUGUUAUUAAUUCCUGUAAAUCGUGAGAUGAUCUACUUCUUGGCUAUGGAUUUUAGGGUUUUGGUCCCCGAAAUAACUUUUGUGCAGCUGAAUUUAGGUUUCGGAUCGAUGAGUUUCGGGUAGAUCAGAUUCGAUUAUGAGGUAAUUUACAGAUCUGGUACGGCCGGGCGUUUCUCAACGGCGGCGGAUCUGAUACGGCCGGGCGUUGCUGUAUGGCGGCGGAUCUGAUACGGCCGGGCGUUGUUGCUCUACGGCGGCGGCGGAUCACUAAAGUUGGAUUCUGUUUAACGGAAUCAUCUACCCGGCAUUUAAGAUGUGGUGUACGCAAUUGAUGCAAUACAGUGGAAGAUGAUUGCUUGUUGGCCUGAGAUUCUUCAAUGCCGAUUUUUUUUGUUUUUUUGGUAGGAUAGUUAUUGAAAAAAAUAGAGAGAUAGAGAGGAAAUAGGUAUGGUAGUCUCUAAUCGACUUUUGCCAUGAAGGGUGCGCUCGCAUGGCAGGUCACCCACUCAAUAAAAAAAUAUUUUUUGUGUUGGAGGGGAGAUGGCACGGCGUUUUGGCCCGGCUCUCCCCUCCGUGUGUGGUUCGGUUUUUUUAUUUGCCUUCCUCCUUAGUCUCACAAGCACGCGCGGCACCCGAUUAUCAACUCAGCAACUCGACAAGUACAUUUGGUUUUUAUUGGGGUUGGUUACAACUAUUAUAUUAGCAAAUUCUAAACCCAUAGCAAUUGCCAAACAUCACCAUAAAUCAUCCAAAAUUCGACCGGCAGGCGUAUUCAUCCAUUUGAGCUCGACAAUCAACCAAUAACGAGGUACAAAUUUAUUUUCAUUGAUAAUUGGAUGUCCUAAGCUUAGUUCUUGCUGUUUAUUCAACAUAGCAACAGAGUUAUGAUUUAGUAUGACAAACAAGCCAAUUUUUUAACGACUUACGAAUACAAUGUUGUACUGUUGUAUCUCAUGGUUGCUAUUUCUUGUUGGCAUAAAGUUUUCUGUACUAAAUCUAUUGAAAUCAGUUAUCAAUUUAUUUUUUAACUUAAAUUUGUGGUUGUUUGAGGCAAGUUCCGUUGUGAUUAUCUAGUUUGGAGACAAGGCAUCUUGUAUGUAAUAUUCGUAGAUAGAGAUGUAAAUUCUGGUGUAUAGUCGGAGCUGAGAACUUGCUGUAUUGGAUGUUGGAGCAAUAAUAUAUUCGAUGACGUGGCAUUUGGUGGUUAUAUGCUCGUGGCGAGGAAGAUGAUCUGCUCUGGAUUCUGCUCUGGAUUCUGCUCUGUUAAAACUGUUUAUGUUCCUUGAUGCUGAUGGUGGAAGAUUUUGCCGACGACUUCUUGUUUUAAAUGGUAUAAUCUCAUUCAAAGAACCGAACUUUGUUUAGAUUGAAGAGAAUAUUUUUUUCCGGCAAUGUCUGCAGGUUAUUGUUGUCAUUUCUGAACUUGUCACCUUCCUAGUGUCUAUAUGAUUGAAAUAUUUUCAAGUUUCGACUCUUGAUACUAGCAAUAUAUAUAAUUUUAAUUUA